rnacentral:rRNA from 1 species
UACGAACUGUGCAAACGUUAUUCGGAAUCACUGGGCUUAAAGGGUGCGUAGGCGGCUUGCUAAGCAGGGUGUGAAAGCCCCCGGCUCAACCGGGGAAUUGCGCCUUGAACUAGCGAGCUGGAGUGAGAUAGGGGUGUGCGGAACUUCCAGUGGAGCGGUGAAAUGUGUUGAUAUUGGAAGGAACGCCGGUGGCGAAAGCGGCACACUGGGUCUCAACUGACGCUGAGGCACGAAAGCCAGGGGAGCAAACGGG